CCUACGGGAGGCAGCAGUGGGGAAUUUUGGACAAUGGGCGAAAGCCUGAUCCAGCAAUGCCGCGUGAGUGAAGAAGGCCUUCGGGUUGUAAAGCUCUUUUGUCAGGGAAGAAACGGUGGGAGCUAAUAUCUCCUGCUAAUGACGGUACCUGAAGAAUAAGCACCGGCUAACUACGUGCCAGCAGCCGCGGUAAUACGUAGGGUGCAAGCGUUAAUCGGAAUUACUGGGCGUAAAGCGUGCGCAGGCGGUUUUGUAAGUCUGAUGUGAAAUCCCCGGGCUCAACCUGGGAAUUGCAUUGGAGACUGCAAGGCUAGAAUCUGGCAGAGGGGGGUAGAAUUCCACGUGUAGCAGUGAAAUGCGUAGAUAUGUGGAGGAACACCGAUGGCGAAGGCAGCCCCCUGGGUCAAGAUUGACGCUCAUGCACGAAAGCGUGGGGAGCAAACAGGAUUAGAUACCCUGGUAGUCCACGCCCUAAACGAUGUCUACUAGUUGUCGGGUCUUAAUUGACUUGGUAACGCAGCUAACGCGUGAAGUAGACCGCCUGGGGAGUACGGUUCGCAAAGAUUAAAACUCAAAAUUGAAUUGACGGCNGAGAGNGCGAGACGACACGAGGAGGAGG
rnacentral:rRNA from 1 species